rnacentral:rRNA from 1 species
GUGGGGAAUAUUGGACAAUGGGCGCAAGCCUGAUCCAGCCAUGCCGCGUGAGUGAUGAAGGCCCUAGGGUUGUAAAGCUCUUUCAACGGUGAAGAUAAUGACGGUAACCGUAGAAGAAGCCCCGGCUAACUUCGUGCCAGCAGCCGAGGUAAUACGAAGGGGGCUAGCGUUGUUCGGAAUUACUGGGCGCAAAGCGCACGUAGGCGGAUCGAUCAGUUAGGGGUGAAAUCCAGGGGCUCAACCCCGGAACUGCCUCUAAUAAUGUCGAUCUCGAGUUCGAGAGAGGUGAGUGGAAUUCCGAGUGUAGAGGUGAAAUUCGUAGAUAUUCGGAGGAACACCAGUGGCGAAGGCGGCUCACUGGCUCGAUACUGACGCUGAGGUGCGAAAGCGUGGGGAGCAAACAGGAUUAGAUACCCCAGUAGUCC